AUAUAGCUCAUCAUGCUCCAAUUCAUCCAUGGUUUCAUUCACCGGUGGAAACCAUAUACAUCACCCACCUCGUCUUCUCUUCUUCUUUCAUUAUUAUUUUUUCUCAUUCUAAAUACAUUACUAUAUUGGGUUCGGAUUUCCUGGUUGUUAUAUUUAUCCAGGAUUUAUGUUUUGGUUUCUUCUUCUUUUUGCCAAAUUACAUGGUAGCAAGCAACCUCUGAACAAGAAGAAACGGGUUUCAUGGGGUUUGUGUAAUAUGGUUUUUCCGGGCACCAUUUUUUUCCCCUCCUAUUUUUACAACGUGUAUCCAGAUCAUAAUUAGUGUAAUUUAAAUGAAAUAUUCCUUGAACAUAGGUUCAUAAUUAAGUUUUGGAUUUGAUUUUUAGUUUUUCUCAUGUAUCUAAAGUUUAUAAGGCUUUUCUAUUUAACACGUUUCGUAAUUAACUUUUUUUUGAAAUAUUAUUACAUAUGCAUGGGAGAGUUCAUAUCAUCUAUUCAAAAUUCCGGCGUUAAUCCAUGCAAAAGAGAUGAUAAAUAAACAACUACCAUUCAGUUCCAUUUAUUUAGGUUUAAUUUUCAUAAAUAUAUUAGGAUUUGCUAAUUUUGUCGAAACUCCAGCCAUAAAAUCAAGUUUAGACCAGUUGGAAAUGAAAAUAAAACCAAAUUAGACAACAUUUUGGUAUUACUAUUCAAAAACAGAAAACUACAUGGGAUGCGACUAUGUAUAAUUUAGACGGUGAUUGUGAUGGAAAAUCCUAUCCAUUAGAAGCAUGUGAGACGAUUAGUGCAUGCAUGUGGCAAUUAUUAUUAGUACCUACCUACAUGUCUAGCUAGAAUUAACUAAUUUUUCAAUUCAUUUAUGAUAAUAUAAAGUUGCCAUUCCUUGAAAUGGAAUGCUACCUAUCUAUGCAUGCACCGGAAAAGAACCUACCCGCAUGUGCUCAAAUUAGGCGAUAUUGUGUCUCUGUAUCUGUGUUCUACUGUUCUUGGUAUAUUUAUAUCGGUGUGUAUAUUCCCAUUUGGUUCCUGAUGUUUUAGGUUUUGUGACUAACGAUCUUGGAUGGUCCAUUUUUACGCAAAGGGAUAAAAUUUUGGUAUAGUUACUGUAGAAUGAGAUAAUUGUACUAAUAAUUUUGGUAUAGAUAACUGUAAAUGCGAUAAUUUUUAAUGAGGAGAAAGGUUAAGAUUGUAUAAAUGAAUAGGCCUGUCAAUAUAUGUCCGAUAUCCGGAAUCCGUUUCCGAUUAUUCGAAAUCCUAUAGGAUUUUAUCCAUUUUAUCGGAUAUCGGAUAAAAAUAUUUAUCGGAUAUUUCUUCCUUAACCUAUCGAUAUCGGAUUGGGCUAUAUCCGUUUGGUUAAUAUCCGAUAUCCGAUAGAAUUAGGGGUAUAAUUGUAAUUUUGUCAAUUCAAUCGAUUAUCAGUCAAUUCAGUCGAGAACCGAGUCAUUUCCUUUUCUUUUUUUCCUCCUCUUCUCUUCUCAGUUCUCGAUCACUCUCGAUCAAUCACUCACUCAGUUGCUUUGCUUAUCAAUCACUCACCCGCUCAAUCAGGUACUGAUUAUCUUCUAUUUCCAUGUUCGAUUUCUAUGUUUGAUUCUUAUGAAAUUAGGGUUUCAUAAUUAUGAGUUUCCAAAUUAGGGUUUCAUAAUUAUGAGUUUUCAUAAUUAUGAGUUUUCAAACUCAAUGAAGGCAAGAACUCUUGGAGUGAUUCAAUCUCACCUUGCAACGUAUCCAUUUUAUUUAUCUACGGAAAGCUAUCUAUCUCCGCUUAAGCCAGCAUCAAAGAAAAAUCUGCAGAAGAAAUUGGGGUUUCAUCAAUUUCAAAUACGGAAUCAAAUUUUGUGAUGGAGACGUUCCUCUUUAUUUGGGUCAAUGUUGACACCAAGGGGAAUAAAUUUUAGCUGUCUGCAACCCACUUACGGCUCAAGUGUGUCCACAAUAUAAUUGUUCUUGGCUAAUAUCUACAAAUUUUGUUGUUCAGGCCUUUGCAUUCAUUUCAAAUCCGAGAAUAAUCAUUAACCUCAUCUCAACUCAAUUGGUUUUUCAGGUGCUGGGUUUCUUUUUCGUCACGUGUCUUCUAUGUUUAGUGUGAAGGAAAAAUUGUUUAGGUACUGAUAUAUUUCAACUAAUAAGGCCUGAAAUGGAAUCAGAUUCAUUUGGCCCCUAAACUCAUAAUUAUGAAGGCCGAGAUAACGUAUGAUACUUUUAUGGUUAAUCGAACUCAGGUACUGAUCUCUUGUUGUUAAUGUUUAUUGCAGACUCCCAAGAAAGGUGUUAAAACUCCAGUAGCAGCAAAGAUGAAGAAUGUAAGUUGUAAUCUCCAAGUGUUGUUAGUAUUUUGAUUAGAAAAAUGAUGUGAAGUUUAGCCAGAUGUUGUAUUCUCAUGUCUCUUAAAAGCUUAUCAUGUAUUAUUAGUAUUUUUCUGUGUUUUGUGGUGCAUAACUUCACAAAUUUUUAAGUUCCCUGCCGAACAAAGUCCCCUGUAUCUCUAGGAACCCGCACUAACUUUACACAGAAUAGUUGGUAUUGAGAGAUGCAUUGCUUCUCAUCUUCAUGUUGAAAACCAGCACUAACACCUGUAUAUGGACUAAAACCACCAACUCCAAGACCAAGUUUGUUCUUUUGAUGAUCAGUAGCCAUUUGACAGUGCAGAAUAUAUCCAUCAAACCUCUUAAUUGGUUCUUCUACAGCCCUUCUUGCUCCUCCUACAGUUUUAUAUGAGAGUUAGUGAGACGCAUCAUUUUUUUCAACUGAGGUGUUUAGCUCAUAGAGUUUAAAUUAAACUGCAUUCACCUGAUGUCGUUAUACUUGGACUAACCAAAUUGAUUCGCAUCUGGUAUUUCCGCUGACCGGUGAUCCACCUUACACGAGCAACAAAUUUAUAUAUCCUUGAGAAUAAAUGUGUGUUAUAAUCUUAUCAGUUAAAUUUUGAAUAAUUAAUUUUAAAUUUUUAUGAUGAGUAUCUUAUUCUUAUAUGAAUGUCGACUUCAAUGACUUGUUAUAAUGCAGAUGUGGAAAAUUUGGAAGCCGAAGACGAAUGAAGACAAGAGAGUCAGAGGAUGGAGAUGAGAGUGACAGAGACACACAAUACUUAUCAUACUUUGUGUUUCCAGUUUUUACUUUCUUUAGCAUUUGCUUGUGUUUCUUUUCAUGUAUGUGUGUGAAUAAGAGACUUAC